UACGUAGGGGGCUAGCGUUGUCCGGAUUUAUUGGGUCGUAAAGAGCGUGUAGGCGGCCAUGUAGGUCCGGUGUGAAAACUCGAGGCUUAACCUCGAGAUGCAUCGGAAACCAUUUGGCUAGAGUCCGGAAGAGGAGAGUGGAAUUCCUGGUGUAGCGGUGAAAUGACGCAGAUAUCAGGAAGAACACCAAUGGCGAAAGCAGCUCUCUGGGACGGUACUGACGCUGAGACGACGAAAGCGUGGGGAGCGAACAGG
rnacentral:rRNA from 1 species